AAGAGCCUACCAAGGCGACGACGGUUAGCCGGCGUGAGAGCGUGGCCGGCCACAAGGACACUGAGAUACGGGUCCUACUCCUACGGGAGGCAGCAGUGCGGAAUUUUAGAUAAUGGAGGCAACUCUGAUCUAGCGACGCCGCGUGCAGGAAGAAGGUCUUCGGAUUGUAAACUGCUGUGGUAAGGGAAAAAUGUCAUGUAGAGUGGAAAGCUACAUGGAGGGAUGGUACCUUACUAGAAAGCCCCGGCUAACUACGUGCCAGCAGCCGCGGUAAUACGUAGGGGGCGAGCGUUACCCGGAAUCACUGGGCGUAAAGGGAGCGUAGGUGGCCUGACAUGUCAACUGUGAAAACCCGGAGCUCAACUCCGGACUUGCAGUUGAAACUGCCAGGCUUGAGGACGGUAGAGGAAGACGGAACUGCCAGUGUAGGGGUAAAAUCCUUAGAUAUUGGCAGGAACGCCGGUGACGAAGGUGGUUUUCUGGGCCGGUUCUGACACUGAUGCUCGAAAGCCAGGGGAGCGAACGGGAUUAGAUACCCCGGU
rnacentral:rRNA from 1 species